AUUGAACGCUGGCGGCAUGCCUUACACAUGCAAGUCGAACGGUAACGCGGGGCAACCUGGCGACGAGUGGCGAACGGGUGAGUAAUACAUCGGAACGUGCCCAGUAGUGGGGGAUAGCCCGGCGAAAGCCGGAUUAAUACCGCAUACGACCUACGGGUGAAAGCAGGGGAUCGCAAGACCUUGCCCCAUUGGAGCGGCCGAUGGCAGAUUAGGUAGUUGGUGGGGUAAAGGCCUACCAAGCCGACGAUCUGUAGCUGGUCUGAGAGGACGACCAGCCACACUGGGACUGAGACACGGCCCAGACUCCUACGGGAGGCAGCAGUGGGGAAUUUUGGACAAUGGGCGCAAGCCUGAUCCAGCCAUGCCGCGUGCGGGAAGAAGGCCUUCGGGUUGUAAACCGCUUUUGUCAGGGAAGAAACGGUCUGGGUUAAUACCCUGGGCUAAUGACGGUACCUGAAGAAUAAGCACCGGCUAACUACGUGCCAGCAGCCGCAGUAAAAC
rnacentral:rRNA from 1 species